AUCCCAUGAUGAGGACAUUUACAAAGUAAUUCCUUAAAUCAUUCCCAAGCCUCAUACAAAGACUACUCAUCCAACUAUUGGAAAGUUGUGAUCUUUUUCCUCAACUU
rfam:Gossypium raimondii chromosome 12, whole genome shotgun sequence.